AAACAAACCUGAGAAGGGAGGACUGCACAGACAAACCUACUCUUUCAACAUGCUGUGUUAUGUCAGAAAAUCUAAGGUUUACCUUUUGUUCUUCGGUCAUUGAGUCCUUCUGUUCUUCCAUCCACGAUUUGUCUUCAUUAGGAAUCAGAUUCAACACAAAUCACAGAUCUGAGAACAGCCUGGAGGUUACACUGCCAGCAGCACCCACAGGGACAAAGUCAUCGCCCGG